rnacentral:rRNA from 1 species
AACUUACCAGGUCAAGACAUGGGCGUGAUUGACAGGCUAAUGACUUUUCUCGAUUCCAUGGAUGGUGGUGCAUGGUCGCACUUAGUUGGUGCAGUGAUUUGUCAGGUUUAUUCCGGUAACGAACGAGACCUCGGCCUUGUAAAUAGCUAUGCUGCUUACAGGGACAUUGGCGGCUACGCCAAGGAAGCUCGAGGCAAUUGCAGAUCUGGAAUGCCCUUAGAUGUCCUGGGUCGCACGCGUGCUACAAUGACGCCACGAACGAGCUUGCGUGAUGAAAGUUACGCAUAAUCAGCAGUCGGCGUCUUAAGGGAUAGUCUCUUGUAACUGUGGGACUCCAACUAGGAAUGUCUCGUAAGCACAAGUCAACAUCUUGUGUUGAUUACGUCCCUGCUCUUUGUACACACCGCCCGUCGCUCCUACCGAUCGAGUGUUUAGGUGAAUUUGAUGGACGUAAGGAAGUCAAAUAAACCUGAGCACUAGAAUAAGAGUCUCGAUCAUGU